GAUGAACGCGGCGGCGCGCCUAACACAUGCAAGUCGAACGAUUAAAGCACCUUCGGGUGUGUAUAAAGUGGCGAACGGCUGAGUAACACGUGGGCAACCUGCCCCUUUCAUUGGGAUAGCCACGGGAAACCGUGGAUAAUACCGAAUACUUCGAGACUUCCGCAUGGAAGACUCGAGAAAGCUCCGGCGGAGAGGGAUGGGCCCGCGGCCUGUUAGCUUGUUGGUGGGGUAACGGCCUACCAAGGCAAUGAUGGGUAGCUGGGUUGAGAGACCGACCAGCCAGAUUGGGACUGAGACACGGCCCAGACUCCUACGGGAGGCAGCAGUGGGGAAUCUUGCACAAUGGGCGAAAGCCUGAUGCAGCGACGCCGCGUGCGGGAUGAAGGCCUUCGGGUUGUAAACCGCUUUCAGCAGGGACGAGGCGAAAGU
rnacentral:rRNA from 2 species